UGGGGGGAUAUUGCACAAUGGGGGAAACCCUGAUGCAGCGACGCCGCGUGUGGGAAGACGUCUCUGGAUUGUAAACCACUGUCCCCAGGGACGAAGAUGACGGUACCUGGGGAGGAAGCUCCGGCUAACUACGUGCC
rnacentral:rRNA from 1 species